AUGACAGGGGGUGGCUACUGUUCAGGUACAGGUAUUAGAAGAUUAGAUUUCAUUCAUUUCAUUGUCAAUUAUUUGAUAAGCAAACAAAUAAACAGCCAAUGUUUGCAAACCAGCAAGAUUCAGCCAGGUUUUGCCAGUUUCUUUGGUUCAAACAAUUCAGCUGAAAUUUCAGCUUCCAUAUGCAGCCAAGGAAUAUGCAUUUGUGAAACUCAUCUAUACAAAGGAACAUUUAAAUAAAUCUAGAAAUUGUAGAAAUAGGAACUGUAGUUUCCUUUGUAGUAGUUCUAGCUCUUACCACCAUCCAUCUCUUGCACUGACAAAGCUUCUUUUAUCACUCUUAGUCCAACUUUUCUAGCUCCAGAUGCUAAAAAUGUCUUCCAGAAGGAGUGCAUAAACAUUUGUAUGCUAAUGUAGGACGGCAAUACCCUGCCUUUUAGCAAAGACUCGACAGUCAAAACAAUGUCCUGAUUUCCCUGCAGAUUCUCCAUGCUGUCUGUUCCUAUCAGUCUGUUUUGUGGAACCUCAGUGACCCCAUGUGCUCAGUGGUGCGUUUGAAUGUUGUUCUGUGACUGGUCAAACCAAAUGAAUAUGCUGUACAGAGCUGCGAGUGAUGCAAACUGUCACCCUUCUCUCUUUUUGCUGCUAUUUGUGCUUGCUGAAACUAGAUGUGUCUCUAAAGAUUUGACGUUUUAUUUCAGAAACUUGUGGACUGUUCCAUUAUUUGUUUCGCACCGAUCUAUCUCUCUGUACCCGGCGUCACUCUCCAGAGCUUGUAAGUUUAUGCACUGAUGAUUCUGGCCUUCCUUUUCCUAUUUUACAACAACUCCGUGUCAGCACAGACAUGUAUGAUUUAUUACAACACAGACUCCUGUCAAGAGAAUCAGCAAGAGAAGUGCUUGUUACACUGAGUGUGUCAUUUAUGAAAAUGAGCUAUUUUAUUUAGCACAGAUGGUUAACUUUAAAAAAAAAAAGUCAUUCUGCCACUCAGAGGCCUCUUGGUGCAGCAGAACACAAUAAUUCAAGAAAGUAGUGCAAAGAAGCAGCUUUUUUGUUUUUUUCUUCUUCUUUUGUUUUUCAAGGUUCUCAUACUUAACGGUGAAAAUAUUUGACUGUGAAUGUACUUUUUUGUGUCUUACUGUUAGUUUCUAUGGUUUUCUAAUUGCACUAAUUAAUGUGAAGGAACAAAUUCAUCCCACAUUUGUGAAUGGGUGAAAAAGCGACCAUCUGUUAAUGCCUGCCAGAGUUAAAAAUGUAAAACAUAAAUAUGUACGUGCAAAAUGUGAGGUUUUUGUUAACCAAAAAUAAGACCAUGUGUAAUGUAAAACAUGGUGGAUUAUUUAGUUUCAUGUCAAAACAAUAGAUGUUAUAUGCAAUGUAGCUAUAUAAUGUGAAAAUUGAAAUAUGUUGAAUAAAGUCUAUGACCAACAACUUAUGUUUUCUUCUUUAUAUGUCGGUACAUUAUUGUAAGAAAAAAGCUAAUCUAAUACUUGAUAUAACUCAAAUCUUCUCCUAUUUCUUUGGUUCAUGCAGAAAGUUGCAAUGACAAGGAAAAUAUGCUAAAAGUGUGAAAUUAGA
ensembl:lncRNA